GGAUUAUCUUCUUCAGGAAGGCUACAGUCAGUGCAAUUUGGGAAUUUGUCUUCAUUUUGCCAUGUUUGACAAUGUUACCACAACUGGUGGGCCACAGAAAGGGACUGAAAAACCACCAUUCUACAGAAACAGAAGGACAGGAGAUGAGAAAGCAGAUGACCCUCAUUAUCCUGAAGAACCUCAUUCCCUGUUCUUUUGUCUUUCAGCAAUCCUAUGCUAAAAUCGAACAGACAGACUACAUUACUCCAUGUUCAUUCUUGCACCCUGGCUCUCCUUUUGACACACAGGAACACUUGCUAUUGCAUUAACUGUGAUGUAUGUGCAACAACAAGCCAUUUCUAAAUGAAAACUGCAGAUAGUUUAGAUGCUGUGAAAGCAUUUUUAUUUCAUUUCUCAAAAAUCAGUUAUAUCUGGGCAUAUCAGUAUAUAAUUUUGCAAUUAUUGCUUCUUCUUUAAAGCUCUAAAUAAUGUAAUCGACAGGAAUCGAGCAACUGAAGCACUGCUUUGUGUUGAAUAUCAUAUUAAGAUAGUUUAAGAAAUGAAAUCAGCUUAUGAUGUGACUGCUUACUGGGACAGAUUUAAUUGUUGACAAUAUCCUUGUAGAGUUCAGUACCUUCCAAUCUGGAAGUAUAUAUGUACAUGUCUCAGAUCUGUUUCUCAUUUGCUCUGUUUGUGAUUUUUUAUUAAGGCUGGAUGCAACAUUUACAGCUGUCUCCUGCUUGAUGUGACAGAGGGGUUUUGAAGUCUUUGGGGCUGCCUGCCUGUUUCCAGCUCUGUGUUUCUUAGCUGGUCUUUUGAAUGUUUGUCCCAGGAUGCAGUGUUGCCUCUCUCUUUUGUUACCACCUGUACUUCAUCUUUUCUAUGAUACAGAUCUGCUAAGAAUGCAAAGCUUCUCAAUAAAGCAGAGAAUCAAAAUUAAAGGCCAAUGUUUGGCUACCAUAUAUAUCUUCAGUCACUAUACACUCUUUAUGAGCUUUUCAUC